rnacentral:rRNA from 1 species
AGUCGAGGGGUAUAGUAGCAAUACUAGAGACCGGCGCACGGGUGCGUAACGCGUAUGCAAUCUACCUUUUGCAGAGGGAUAGCCCAGAGAAAUUUGGAUUAAUACCUCAUAGUAUAACGACUCGGCAUCGAGAUGUUAUUAAAGUCACAACGGCAAAAGAUGAGCAUGCGUCCCAUUAGUUAGUUGGUAAGGUAACGGCUUACCAAGACUACGAUGGGUAGGGGUCCUGAGAGGGAGAUCCCCCACACUGGUACUGAGACACGGACCAGACUCCUACGGGAGGCAGCAGUGAGGAAUAUUGGACAAUGGGCGCAAGCCUGAUCCAGCCAUGCCGCGUGCAGGAUGACGGUCCUAUGGAUUGUAAACUGCUUUUGCACAGGAAGAAACAACGCUACGUGUAGCGUCUUGACGGUACUGUGAGAAUAAGGAUCGGCUAACUCCGUGCCAGCAGCCGCGGUAAUACGGAGGAUCCAAGCGUUAUCCGGAAUCAUUGGGUUUAAAGGGUCCGUAGGCGGUCUUAUAAGUCAGUGGUGAAAUCUCCCCGCUCAACGGGGAAACGGCCAUUGAUACUGUAGGACUUGAAUUAUUAGGAAGUAACUAGAAUAUGUAGUGUAGCGGUGAAAUGCUUAGAGAUUACAUGGAAUACCAAUUGCGAAGGCAGGUUACUACUAAUGGAUUGACGCUGAUGGACGAAAGCGUGGGUAGCGAACAGGAUUAGAUACCCUGGUAGUCCACGCCGUAAACGAUGGAUACUAGCUGUUGGGCGCAAGUUCAGUGGCUAAGCGAAAGUGAUAAGUAUCCCACCUGGGGA